AUGUUUAUGAAAUUUGAAAUGCAUUGGCGGCAUAUUGUACAGGAAAACAAGUUACAGCAUUUCAAGCUACCUGAACCUGUUUUCUGCAUUGGAGGUUUUCUGAUGGUGGAGCUGUUGGGAAGUGCUCAAAAAAAUGAAAAUGAUAAUUUAUUCUACAUAUGCAUCUCCCAUAUUAAAGUUGUUGGGCGAAUAAUUUCUCCAGAAUUUAUUGUGAAGAGAGGAUGA